rnacentral:piRNA from 1 species
UGAACUAUGUGAGCUACCUGAUUGUGCC